rnacentral:rRNA from 1 species
UACAGAGGUCUCAAGCGUUGUUCGGAUUCAGUUGGGCGUAAAGGGUGCGUAGGCGGCGCGGUAAAGGUCGGGUGUCGAAAUCUUGGGAGCUUAACUCCGAAACUGCAUUCGAUACUGCCGUGCUUGAGGACUGGAGAGGAGACUGGAAUUUACGGUGUAGCGGUGAAAUGCGUUGAUAGUCCUCAGGAACUCCGGUGGCGAAAGCGGC